rnacentral:rRNA from 1 species
CGGCGUGCCUAAUACAUGCAAGUCGAACGAGAAUUUCUUACACCGAGUGCUUGCACUCACCGUAAGAAAUUCGAGUGGCGGACGGGUGAGUAACACGUGGGUAACCUGCCCAAAAGAAGGGGAUAACAUUUGGAAACAAAUGCUAAUACCGUAUAACCAUGAUGACCGCAUGGUCAUUAUGUAAAAGGUGGUUUUGCUAUCGCUUUUGGAUGGACCCGCGGCGUAUUAACUAGUUGGUAGGGUAACGGCCUACCAAGGUGAUGAUACGUAGCCGAGUUGAGAGACUGAUCGGCCACAAUGGGACUGAGACACGGCCCAUACUCCUACGGGAGGCAGCAGUAGGGAAUCUUCCACAAUGGGCGCAAGCCUGAUGGAGCAACGCCGCGUGAAUGAAGAAGGUCUUCGGAUCGUAAAAUUCUGUUGUUAGAGAAGAAUAUGAGUAAUAGUAACUGAUUAUUCACUGACGGUAUCUAACCAGCAAGUCACGGCUAACUACGUGCCAGCAGCCGCGGUAAUACGUAGGUGGCAAGCGUUGUCCGGAUUUAUUGGGCGUAAAGGGAACGCAGGCGGUUUUUAAGUCUGAUGUGAAAGCCUUCGGCUUAACCGGAGAUGUGCAUUGGAAACUGGAAGACUUGAGUGCAGAAGAGGAGAGUGGAACUCCAUGUGUAGCGGUGAAAUGCGUAGAUAUAUGGAAGAACACCAGUGGCGAAAGCGGCUCUCUGGUCUGUAACUGACGCUGAGGUUCGAAAGCAUGGGUAGCGAACAGG